GAUGAACGCUGGCGGCGUGCCUAAUACAUGCAAGUCGAGCGAACAGACGAGGAGCUUGUUCCUCUGACGUUAGCGGCGGACGGGUGAGUAACAUGUGGAUAAUCUACUUAUAAGACUGGGAUAACUUCGGGAAACCGGAGCUAAUACCGGAUAAUAUAUUGAUCCGCAUGGUUCAAUAGUGAAAGACGGCUUUGCUGUCACUUAUAGAUGGAUCUGCGCCGCAUUAGCUAGUUGGUAAGGUAACGGCUUACCAAGGCAACGAUGCGUAGCCGACCUGAGAGGGUGAUCGGCCACACUGGAGCUGAGACGCGGUCCAGACUCCUACGGGAGGCAGCAGUAGGGAAUCUUCCGCAAUGGGCGAAAGCCUGACGGAGCAACGCCGCGUGAGUGAUGAAGGUCUUCGGAGCGUAAAACUCUGUUAUUAGGGAAGAACAAAUGUGUAAGUAACUAUGCACGUCUUGACGGUACCUAAUCAGAAAGCCACGGCUAACUACGUG
rnacentral:rRNA from 1 species